GCUAAUGCCGGAUAGUCUUGAAAGGGUAAAGGGGGCCUCUGCUUGCAAGCUUCCGGGUGCUGAUGAGUCCGCGUCUGAUUAGCUAGUUGGUGAGGUAAUGGCUCACCAAGGCAACGAUCAGUAGCAGGUUUGAGAGGAUGACCUGCCACACUGGGACUGGAACACGGCCCAGACUCCUACGGGAGGCAGCAGUGGGGAAUAUUGCGCAAUGGGCGAAAGCCUGACGCAGCGACGCCGCGUGGAGGAUGAAGGCCUUCGGGUCGUAAACUCCUGUCAAGAG
rnacentral:rRNA from 1 species